rnacentral:rRNA from 1 species
CCUACGGGCGGCAGCAGUGGGGAAUCUUGCACAAUGGGGGAAACCCUGAUGCAGCGACGCCGCGUGAGUGAAGAAGUAAUUCGUUAUGUAAAGCUCUAUCAGCAGGGAAGAAAAUGACGGUACCUGAGUAAGAAGCCCCGGCUAACUACGUACCAGCAGCCGCGGUAAUACGUAGGGGGCAAGCGUUAUCCGGAUUUACUGGGUGGAAAGGGAGCGUAGACGGCAGUGCAAGUCUGGAGUGAAAGGCGGGGGCUCAACCCCCGGACUGCUCUGGAAACUGUACGGCUGGAGUGCAGGAGAGGAAAGUGGAAUUCCUAGUGUAGCGGUGAAAUGCGUAGAUAUUAGGAGGAACACCAGUGGCGAAGGCGGCUUACUGGACUGUAACUGACGUUGAGGCUCGAAAGCGUGGGGAGCAAACAGGAUUAGAUACCCCUGUAGUC